CGACGGUUACAGGACUGUUCAGGGGCGGAAGCGGGGGAAUUUGAGUUUCAAGGUCGCUUUUUUAGUGCGUUUGUUUUGUAGAUUAUUACGGCGAUCGCCGAUAGCACAUUUUGCUGCAGCGCAAUUCGCACGACUGUAGGAUUUUAUUACGGUGACCUAUUUACAGUAGUAUACUUAUUUAUACAUAUUUUUCUUUCGAACCCGACAUUUCCGAC